rnacentral:pre_miRNA from 1 species
CUUGUACUCCCUCCGUCCGAAAAUACUUGUCAUUGAAAUGGAUGUAUCUAGAUGUAUUUUAGUUCUAGACACAUCCAUUUUGAUGACAAGUAAUUCCGGACGGAGGGAGUAGUUG